rfam:Triticum aestivum genome assembly, contig: Triticum_aestivum_CS42_TGACv1_scaffold_330159_4BS
UUUGUACUCCCUCCGUCCCAAAAUUCUUGUCUUAAAUUUGUCUAAAUACGGAUGUAUCUAGUUACAUUUUAGUGUUAGAUACAUCCGUAUCUAAACAAAUGUAAGACAAGAAUUUUGGGACGGAGGGAAUACUAC